UUGAACGCUGGCGACAUGCCUUACACAUGCAAGUCGAACGGUAGAGGGGCAACCCUUGAGGGUGGCGAACGGGUGAGUAAUGCAUCGGAACGUGCCCAGUCGUGGGGGAUAACGCAGCGAAAGCUGUGCUAAUACCGCAUGUGAUCUGUGGAUGAAAGCAGGGGACCGCAAGGCCUUGUGCGAUUGGAGCGGCCGAUGUCAGAUUAGCUAGUUGGUAGGGUAAAAGCCUACCAAGGCGACGAUCUGUAGCUG
rnacentral:rRNA from 1 species